GAAACUUAAAUGAAUUGACGGGGGCCCGCACAAGCGGUGGAGCAUGUGGUUUAAUUCGAUGCAACGCGAAGAACCUUACCAGGUCUUGACAUCCCCUGACAACCCAAGAGAUUGGGCGUUCCCCUUCGGGGGGACAGGGUGACAGGUGGUGCAUGGUUGUCGUCAGCUCGUGUCGUGAGAUGUUGGGUUAAGUCCCGCAACGAGCGCAACCCUCGCCUCUAGUUGCCAGCAUUCGGUUGGGCACUCUAGAGGGACUGCCGGCGACAAGUCGGAGGAAGGUGGGGAUGACGUCAAAUCAUCAUGCCCUUUAUGACCUGGGCUACAAACGUACUACAAUGGCCAAUACAAAGAGAUGCGAAGCGGUGACGUGGAGCGAACCUCAGAAAGUUGGUCUCAGUUCAGAUUGAAGUCUGCAACUCGACUUCAUGAAGGCGGAAUCGCUAGUAAUCGCGGGUCAGCAGACCGCGGUGAAUACGUUCCCGGGUUUU
rnacentral:rRNA from 1 species